rnacentral:rRNA from 1 species
GAUGAACGCUGGCGGCGUGCCUAAUACAUGCAAGUCGAGCGAACGGACGAGAAGCUUGCUUCUCUGAUGUUAGCGGCGGACGGGUGAGUAACACGUGGAUAACCUACCUAUAAGACUGGGAUAACUUCGGGAAACCGGAGCUAAUACCGGAUAAUAUUUUGAACCGCAUGGUUCAAAAGUGAAAGACGGUCUUGCUGUCACUUAUAGAUGGAUCCGCGCUGCAUUAGCUAGUUGGUAAGGUAACGGCUUACCAAGGCAACGAUGCAUAGCCGACCUGAGAGGGUGAUCGGCCACACUGGAACUGAGACACGGUCCAGACUCCUACGGGAGGCAGCAGUAGGGAAUCUUCCCGCAUGGGGCGAAGCCUGACGGAGCAACGCCGCGUGAGUGAUGAAGGUCUUCGGAUCGUNAAACUCUGUUAUUAGGGAAGAACAUAUGUGUAAGUAACUGUGCACAUCUUGACNGUACCUAAUCAGAAAGCCACGGGCUAACUACGUGCCAGCAGCCGCGGGAAUACGUAAGUGGCCAGCGGUAUUCGGAAUUAAUGGGCGGAAAGCGCGCGUAGCGGUUUUUUAGUCUGAUGUGAAUGCCCACGGCUCAACCGUGGAGGGUCAUUGGAAACUGGAAAACUUGAGUGCAGAAGAGGAAAGUGGAAUUCCAUGUGUAGCGGCGAAAUGCGCAGAGAUAUGGAGGAACACCAGUGGCGAAGGCGACUUUCUGGUCUGUAACUGACGCUGAUGUGCGAAAGCGUGGGGAUCAAACAGGAUUAGAUACCCUGGUAGUCCACGCCGUAAACGAUGAGUGCUAAGUGUUAGGGGGUUUCCGCCCCUUAGUGCUGCAGCUAACGCAUUAAGCACUCCGCCUGGGGAGUACGACCGCAAGGUUGAAACUCAAAGGAAUUGACGGGGACCCGCACAAGCGGUGGAGCAUGUGGUUUAAUUCGAAGCAACGCGAAGAACCUUACCAAAUCUUGACAUCCUUUGACAACUCUAGAGAUAGAGCCUUCCCCUUCGGGGGGGCAAAGUGACAGGUGGUGCAUGGUUGUCGUCAGCUCGUGUCGUGAGAUGUUGGGUUAAGUCCCGCAACGAGCGCAACCCUUAAGCUUAGUUGCCAUCAUUAAGUUGGGCACUCUAAGUUGACUGCCGGUGACAAACCGGAGGAAGGUGGGGAUGACGUCAAAUCAUCAUGCCCCUUAUGAUUUGGGCUACACACGUGCUACAAUGGACAAUACAAAGGGCAGCGAAACCGCGAGGUCAAGCAAAUCCCAUAAAGUUGUUCUCAGUUCGGAUUGUAGUCUGCAACUCGACUACAUGAAGCUGGAAUCGCUAGUAAUCGUAGAUCAGCAUGCUACGGUGAAUACGCUCCCGGGUCU